GACGAACGCUGGCGGCGUGCUUAACACAUGCAAGUCGUACGGUAAGGCCCUUUCGGGGGUACACGAGUGGCGCACGGGUGAGUAACACGUGAGUAACCUGCCCACAACUUUGGGAUAACGCUAGGAAACUGGUGCUAAUACUGGAUAUGUGCCCCUGCUGCAUGGUGGGGGUUGGAAAGCUCCGGCGGUUGUGGAUGGACUCGCGGCCUAUCAGCUUGUUGGUGGGGUAGUGGCCUACCAAGGCGGCGACGGGUAGCCGGCCUGAGAGGGUGACCGGCCACAUUGGGACUGAGAUACGGCCCAGACUCCUACGGGAGGCAGCAGUGGGGAAUAUUGCACAAUGGGCGCAAGCCUGAUGCAGCAACGCCGCGUGCGGGAUGACGGCCUUCGGGUUGUAAACCGCUUUCAGCAGGGACGAAGCUUUUUGUGACGGUACCUGCAGAAGAAGCACCGGCUAACUACGU
rnacentral:rRNA from 1 species